UCGUAGGGGUGCAGCGUUUGUCCGGAAUUAUUGGGCGUAAAGAGCUCGUAGGCGGUCUGUCGCGUCGGUCGUGAAAACUUGGGGCUUAACCCUGAGCUUGCGGUCGAUACGGGCAUCACUGGAGUUCGGCAGGGGAGACUGAAUUCCCUGGCGUAGCGGUGAAAUGCGCAGAUAUCAGGAGGAACACCGGUGGCGAAGGCGGGUCUCUGGGCCGAUACUGACGCUGAGGAGCGAAAGCGUGGGGAGCGAACAGG
rnacentral:rRNA from 1 species